CCUGAGUAGGAUGAAGCCGGAGGAAACUCUGGUGGAGGUCCGAAGCGCUUUUGACGUGCAAAUCAAUCGUCAGACUUGGGUAUAGGGGCGAAAGACUAAUCGAACCAUCUAGUAGCUGGUUCCCUUCGAAGUUUCCCCCAGGAAAGCUGGUGCCAUGUUUGACAGUUUUAUCUGGUAAAGCGAAUGAUUAGAGGCAUUGGGGACGAAUUGUCCUCGACCUAUUCUCAAACUUUAAAUGGGUAAUGUACCGUUGUACUUCUUGAUAUUCAUGAGUGCUCGGUCAAAUGCAAUGGCACCAAGUGGGCCAUUUUUGGUAAGCAGAACUGGCGAUGUGGGAUGAACCAAACGUUGAGCUAGGAUGCCCAAAGUGCUUCUCAUGAGAUACCAUGAAAGGUGUCAGUCGAUAUUGACAGCAGGACGGUGGCCGCAGAAGUAGGAAUCCGCUAAGGAGUGUGUAACAACUCACCUGCCGAAUCGACUGGUCCUGAAAAUGGAUGGCGCUGGAGACGUAUAUCCAUGCUCGACCGUCAAUGCCAACGAAAGCGAUUGCUAUAUGGCUUGACGUGUAGAAGGGCGAUUGCCGUGGCGUCGAAACUUGCACCGUGAGGUGGGGUAGAGCUGCGGCAUGUGCAGAUCUUGGUGGUAGUAGCAAGUAUUCAAAUGAGAGCAUUGAAGACUGAAGUGGAGUAAGGUUCCAUGUGAACAGCAUUUGGACAUGGAUCAGCCGAUCCUAAGAGAACGUGUAAGUUCGUGAUUAAGCGCGUCGCCUUGUGCGUCGCAAUCGAAAGGGAAUCGGGUUAAUAUUCCCGAGCCAGGAUACGGAAUGAGCCUGAUUAAUCGAAAGUACCUUGUGUGCUUUUGACUUCAGGCAAAAGCGGCAACGCCAACAAACCCAGAGAUUAACUAUGCGAAGUCCGGGGAAGAGUUUUCUCUUCUUUGUAAGGGAUGUUAUCCCUGGAAACAGAUUGUCUGGCGAUAGGGUACGCAUCCCGUAAUGCAACGCGAUUCCUGCGAUGUACCGUGCGCUUCGUAUAGUGCUUGAAAAUCUGGGAGCGAGUUUGUUCAGGCCGUACCUGUUCGUACUGAUUUCCGCAGCAGGUCUCCAAGGUGAGCAGCCUCUAGUCGAUGGGACAAAGUAGACAAGGGAAGUCGGCAAAUUAGAUCCGUAACUUCGGAAAAAGGAUUGGCUCUAAAGGCUGAGUUGGUCGGGCGGUUGCGUAAAGCUGGGAGCGAUGCUUUGACUCUGUCUCAGACUCCAUACUCGCAAGGGAUAUGUAAUCGGCGGCGGAGCUUAGUAUUUGCUCACUGUGGACCGCGGUCGCUAUGCCACCCAUGCGGUGUCAAAAUUCAUUUUCGAGCCGUGCGGUGUGGAUCCGAUCAGCGUUUAACAGCUGACCUAGAACUGGUAUGGACAAGGGGAAUCCAACUGUUUAAUUAAAACAAAGCAUUGCGAUAGCUGUAAUCGGUGUUGACGCGAUGUGAUUUCUGCCCAGUGCUCUGAAUGUUAAAGUGAAGGAACUCAUUAAAGCGCGAGUUAACGGCGGAAGUAACUAUGACUUUCUUAAGGUAGCCAAAUGCCUCGUCAUCUAAUUAGUGACGUGCAUGAAUGGAUUAUUGAGAUUCCUUCUGUCCCUGUCUGCAACCUAGCGAAACCACAGCCAAGGGAACGGGCUUGGAGAGUAACAGCGGGGAAAGAAGACCCUGUUGAGCUUGACUCUAGUCAGUCUUUGUGAAGAAACAUGAUGGGUGUAGAAUAGGUGGGAGGACGCGACAGUGAAAUACCACUACUAUCAUCGUUUCUUUACUUACUCAAUUGAUCAGGGAGCGUGAAUUCGCUAUUUGCGAUGUAUGAUUAUUCCUUCAGUGGAAUAAGUGUCUGGUUUGAGAACACAGACUGAUUGGGAGUUUGACUGGGGCGGUACAUCUGUUAAAAUCUAACGCAGGUGUCCUAAGGCAAUCUCAGCGUGGACAGAAACCUCGCAUAGAGCGAAAGGGCAAAAGAUUGCUUGAUCUUGAUUUUCAGUACGAAUAAAGACAAUGAAAGUUUGGCUUGUCGAUCCUUUUGAAUUUUACGAGUUUUAAGCAAGAGGUGUCAGAAAAGUUACCACAGGGAUAACUGGCU
rnacentral:rRNA from 1 species